CGUCUAUAUACGUAUAGCAUAUCAAUAAGCGGAGGAAAAGAAACUAACUAGGAUUCCCUCAGUAACGGCGAGUGAAGCGGGAAGAGCUCAAAUUUGAAAUCUUCAAGGUUCUACCUUGACGAAUUGUAGUUUAAAGAAGUGUUUUCUGUUGGAGUUUUGGUAAAAGUUCUUUGGAAUAGGACAUCAUAGAGGGUGAGAAUCCCGUAUUUGACCAUUAUUUCCAACUUUGUGAUACACUUUCAAAGAGUCGGAUUGUUUGGGAAUGCAGUCCAAAAUGGGUGGUAAAUUUCAUCUAAAGCUAAAUAUUGGCGAGAGACCGAUAGCGAACAAGUACCGUGAGGGAAAGAUGAAAAGAACUUUGAAAAGAGAGUUAAACAGUACGUGAAAUUGUCAAAAGGGAAGCGUUUGACACCAGUGUUGUUUUCUCGAAAAUCAAUUAAAAAUGGCAGGAUUUUGUGUUGUAUUGACUUUAUCAGCUUUCUGCACUUUUUUCUUGUCUUUUUUAAUGCACUUUUCGUUUAACAAGUCAACAUCAAUUUCUUUUGCUGUAAAAGGGUCAUUGGAAGGUGGCUUUCUUUUCGGAGAAAGUGUUUAUAGCCUUUGCCUCUGCAAUCGGAGAGAUUGAGGUCUGCAGCGUAGAUCCUUCGGGGUUAGAUGCAUUUGUGCUAAGUUAUAGCCUUUCAUAGACAACUUGUUGACUAUGAUCAGUCAUGUAGCUUACUCGCUUAUGUCAUUUUACCUACGCUUAGGAUGUUGACGAUCAGCUGAGCGCG
rnacentral:rRNA from 1 species